rnacentral:siRNA from 1 species
AAUGAUGGCUUGUAGAGAGUAUCU